rnacentral:lncRNA from 1 species
GAAAAUUAUCAUCAGAUCUGAGUUCUUUAUGUUCAAUUGGACUCACUGAACAGUAGUAUAGUGGUGAAGGUGUUAAAAGGCCCACAGUGCCUGAACAGAGCUGGCCUUGCCUCAA